UCAAUAUGCCUGCCUACCGCUACUGUGUCUGCCAGCCUUUGAGUCACGCGCAUAAACUAGACACCUCUGAUGCAUAGACAAUUCAUGCAGACACUGCAUCAAGUUCAAAAAUCGGAAGAGACGGUAAUGUUAAGAAAAGUAUCCCUCUGGUGCCAAAAACAGUAAGAAGAAAAUGACAGAGGAGGAGAAAAACGAGCAAGAUACAGAGACACUGUUGAAGUACUUUGAAGCACAUCUCUACCACUACCUAACUCUACCUCAUCAAGUGUCUGCCUCCAUGGCUGAUGACACAGAAGGUUCGUCCACUGCAGAGUUGCAGAUACCUGAAAGCCAGGAACGAAGUAGGAAUAAGUAUC